UCUCGGAGGAGUAAAGUGGCGCACGGGUGAGUAACGCGUGGGUAACCAGCCCUUGAAUUUGGGAUAACCCCGUGAAAACGGGACUAAUACCGGAUAUUGCCCUGAGGACUGUGGUUCUCGGGAUGAAAGGUGACCUCUUCACGAAAGUUGCCGUUCAGGGAAGGGCUCGCGUACCAUUAGCUUGUUGGUAGGGUAAUGGCCUACCAAGGCGACGAUGGUUAGCUGGUCUGAGAGGAUGAUCAGCCACACUGGAACUGAAACACGGUCCAGACUCCUACGGGAGGCAGCAGUGAGGAAUUUUGCGCAAUGGGGGAAACCCUGACGCAGCAACGCCGCGUGAGUGAAGAAGGCCUUCGGGUCGUAAAGCUCUGUCAAGUGGGAAAAAAUGUCCCGGGUAAAUAGCCCGGGAAACUGAUGGUACCACUGGAGGAAGCACCGGCUAACUCCGUGCCAGCAGCCGCGGUAAUACGGAGGGUGCAAGCGUUGUUCGGAAUUACUGGGCGUAAAGAGCGUGUAGCGGUUUGGCAAGUCAGAUGUGAGAGCCCCGGGCUCAACCCGGGAAGUGCAUUUGAAACUGCCAUACUUGAGUAUGGGAGAGGAGAGUGGAAUUCCCAGUGUAGAGGUGAAAUUCGUAGAUAUUGGGAGGAACACCCGUGGCGAAGGCGACUCUCUGGACCAAUACUGACGCUGAGACGCGAAAGCGUGGGGAGCAGACAGGAUUAGAUACCCUGGUAGUCCACGCUGUAAACGAUGAGAACUAGGUGUAGCGGGUAUUGACCCCUGCUGUGCCGAAGUUAACGCAUUAAGUUCUCCGCCUGGGGAGUACGGCCGCAAGGCUAAAACUCAAAGGAAUUGACGGGGGCCCGCACAAGCGGUGGAGCAUGUGGUUUAAUUCGACGCAACGCGAAGAACCUUACCUGGGUUUGACAUCCUCUGACCGUCUGGGAAACCAGAUUUUUCCGGUUCUGCCGGAACAGAGUGACAGGUGCUGCAUGGCUGUCGUCAGCUCGUGUCGUGAGAUGUUGGGUUAAGUCCCGCAACGAGCGCAACCCUUAUUUUUAGUUGCCAGUAUUAAGUUAGGCACUCUAAAGAGACUGCCUCGGUUAACGAGGAGGAAGGUGGGGAUGGCGUCAAGUCCUCAUGGCCUUUAUACCCAGGGCUACACACGUGCUACAAUGGGCUGUACAAAGGGUCGCCAAUCCGCGAGGAUGCGCUAAUCCCAAAAAGCAGCUCUCAGUUCGGAUUGGAGUCUGCAACUCGACUCCAUGAAGUUGGAAUCGCUAGUAAUCGUGGAUCAGCAUGCCACGGUGAAUACGUUCCCGGGCCUUGUACACACCGCCCGUCACACCC
rnacentral:rRNA from 1 species